AUUGAACGCUAGCGGGAUGCCUUACACAUGCAAGUCGAACGGCGUGGCGAACGGGUGAUUAAUGUAUCGGAACGUGCACAGUAGCGGGGGGUCACUACGCUAACGCGUAGCUAAUACCGCAUACUAUUGGAGCGGCCGAUAUCGGCUUAGCUAGUUGGUGGGGUAACGGCUCACCAAGGCGACGAUCCGUCGCUGGUUUGAGAGGACGACCAGCCACACUGGGACUGAGACACGGCCCAGACUCCUACGGGAGGCAGCAGUGGGGAAUUUUGGACAAUGGGGGAAACCCUGAUCCAGCCAUCCCGCGUGUGCGAUGAAGGCUGUCGGGUCGUAAAGCACUUUUGGCAGGAAAGCGGUACCUGCAGAAUAAGCACCGGCUAACUACGUGCCAGCAGCCGCGGUAAUUC
rnacentral:rRNA from 1 species